rnacentral:rRNA from 1 species
CCUACGGGAGGCAGCAGUGAGGAAUAUUGGUCAAUGGACGGAAGUCUGAACCAGCCAUGCCGCGUGCAGGAAGACGGCUCUAUGAGUGGUAAACUGCUUUUGUACAAGGGUAAACCUGAAUACGUGUAUUCAGCUGACAGUACUGUACGAAUAAGGAUCGGCUAACUCCGUGCCAGCAGCCGCGGUAAUACGGAGGAUCCAAGCGUUAUCCGGAUUUAUUGGGUUUAAAGGGUGCGUAGGCGGAUUGAUAAGUUAGAGGUGAAAUGUCCGAGCUUAACUCGGGAACUGCCUCUAAUACUAGUGAUACAGAGAGUAGAUGAGGUAGGCGGAAUGUACGGGGUAGCGGUGAAAUGCUUAGAGAUCAUACAGAACACCGAUUGCGAAGGCAGCUUACCAAUCUAUAUCUGACGUUGAGGCACGAAAGCGUGGGGAGCAAACAGGAUUAGAUACCCUUGUAGUC